CAGUCGCCGCGGGAAUACGAGGGGGGCAAGCGUUGUUCGGAAUUAUUGGGCGUAAAGGGUGCGUAGGCGGUUUGGCAAGUCUUGUGUGAAAUCUUCGGGCUCAACCCGAAGCCUGCACGAGAAACUGCCGGGCUUGAGUAUUGGAGAGGUGAGUGGAAUUUCCGGUGUAGCGGUGAAAUGCGUAGAUAUCGGAAGGAACACCUGUGGCGAAAGCGGCUCACUGGACAAUAACUGACGCUGAUGCACGAAAGCUAGGGGAGCAAACAGGAUUAGAUACCCGGGUAGUCCCUGUCUCUUAUAC
rnacentral:rRNA from 1 species